GUCGAUGUUGCCUGAGGGUAGUGAGGCCCUACAGAGGGAUCUGGACAGGCUGGAUAGCUGGGCUGAAGCCAAUGGGAUGAAGUUCAAUAAGACCAGAUGCCAGGUCCUGCAGUUUGGCCACAAUAACCCCAGGGAACGCUACAGGCUUGGGGCAGAGUGGCUGGAAGACUGUGUAGAGGAAAUGGAGCUGGGGGUGUUGAUUGACGCUAGACUGAACAUGAGCCAGCAGUGUGCCCAGGUGGCCAAGAAGGCCAAUGGCAUCCUGGCUUGUAUCAGAAAUAGUGUGGCCAGCAGGAACAGGGAAGUAAUUGUCCCCCUGUACUCAGCACUGGUGAGGCCACACCUCAAGCACUGUGUCCAGUUUUGGGCCCCUCACUGCAAGGAAGAUAUCGAGGUCCUGGAGCAUGUUCAAAGACAGGCAACAAAGCUGGUGAGGAGUCUGGAGCACAGACCUUAUGAAGAGUGGCUGAAGGAGCUGGGAUUGUUCAGUCUGGAGACGAGGAGGCUCAGGGAGGACCUUAUUGCUCUCUCUAACUACCUGAAGGGAGGUUGUAGUGAUCUGGGGGCCAGCCUCUUCUCUUGUGUGACUAGUGAUAGGACUAGAGGGAAUGGCUUCAAGCUGCACCAGGGGAGGUUCAGGCUGGAUGUUAGGAAAUACUACUUCUCUGAAAGGGUGGUCAGGCACUGGAAUGGGCUGCACAGAGAGGUGGUGGAGUCACCAACCCUGGCAGUGUUCAAGGAGUGUUUGGACGUUGCAUUGAGAGACAUAGUUGAGUGAGAACUAUUGGUGGUGGGUGGAUGGUUGGACUGGAUGAUCCUGUAGGUCUUUUCCAACUUUAGCGAUUCUAUG
ensembl:lncRNA